GCUAGCGUAGCUCAAUGGUAGAGCAGCGGUUUUGUAAACCGCAGGUCAUGGGUUCGAAUCCCAUCGCUAGCUCCA
rnacentral:tRNA from 1 species